UACGUAGGGUGCGAGCGUUAAUCGGAAUUACUGGGCGUAAAGCGUGCGCAGGCGGUUGCUGAAGUCCGUUGUGAAAGCCCCGGGCUUAACCUGGGAAUGGCAGUGGAAACUAGGCGACUUGAAUCUGGCAGAGGGGGGUGGAAUGCCACGUGUAGCAGUGAAAUGCGUAGAUAUUGGGAGGAACACCAGUGGCGAAGGCGGCUCACUGGACCGGAACUGACGCUGAGGCGCGAAAGCGUGGGGAGCAAACGGG
rnacentral:rRNA from 1 species